GAUGAACGCUGGCGGCGUGCCUAAUACAUGCAAGUCGAGCGAACAGACGAGGAGCUUGCUCCUCUGACGUUAGCGGCGGACGGGUGAGUAACACGUGGACAACCUACCUAUAAGACUGGGAUAACUUCGGGAAACCGGAGCUAAUACCGUAUAACAUGCUGAACCGCAUGGUUCAACAGUGAAAGACGGUCUUGCUGUCACUUAUAGAUGGAUCCGCGCCGCAUUAGCUAGUUGGUAAGGUAACGGCUUACCAAGGCAACGAUGCGUAGCCGACCUGAGAGGGUGAUCGGCCACACUGGAACUGGACCACGGUCCAGACUCCUACGGGAGGCAGCAGUAGGGAAUCUUCCGCAGUGGGCGAAAACCUGACGGAGCAACGCCGCGUGAGUGAAGAAGGUCUUCGGAUCGUAAAACUCUGUUAUUAGGGAAGAACAAAUGUGUAAGUAACUAUGCACGUCUUGACGGUACCUAAUCAGAAAGCCACGGCUAACUACGUG
rnacentral:rRNA from 1 species